CUCUGCCUGGCUCUGUCCCCAGU
rnacentral:miRNA from 1 species